rnacentral:rRNA from 1 species
CACGCCCUAAACGAUGUCUACUAGUUGUUGGUGGAGUAAAAUCCAUGAGUAACGCAGCUAACGCGUGAAGUAGACCGCCUGGGGAGUACGGUCGCAAGAUUAAAACUCAAAUGAAUUGACGGGGGCCCGCACAAGCGGUGGAUUAUGUGGAUUAAUUCGAUGCAACGCGAAAAACCUUACCUGGCCUUGACAUGUAACGAACUUUCCAGAGAUGGAUUGGUGCUCGUAAGAGAACGUUAACACAGGUGC